GCCUACGGGGGGCAGCAGUGAGGAAUAUUGGUCAAUGGUCGGGAGACUGAACCAGCCAAGCCGCGUGAGGGAUGAAGGUACAGAGUAUCGUAAACCUCUUUUGUCAGGGAACAAAGGCGGGGACGUGUCCCCGGAUGAGUGUACCUGAAGAAAAAGCAUCGGCUAACUCCGUGCCAGCAGCCGCGGUAAUACGGAGGAUGCGAGCGUUAUCCGGAUUUAUUGGGUUUAAAGGGUGCGCAGGCGGUCUGUUAAGUCACCCCUCCCCCCCC
rnacentral:rRNA from 1 species